UAAGGUGCAUCUAGUGCAGAUAGUGAAGUAGACUAGCACCUACUGCCCUAAGUGCUCCUUCUG
rnacentral:pre_miRNA from 4 species